rnacentral:rRNA from 1 species
CCUGGUAGUCCACGCCCUAAACGAUGUCAACUAGUUGUUGGGGAUUCAUUUCCUUAGUAACGUAGCUAACGCGUGAAGUUGACCGCCUGGGGAGUACGGUCGCAAGAUUAAAACUCAAAGGAAUUGACGGGGACCCGCACAAGCGGUGGAUGAUGUGGAUUAAUUCGAUGCAACGCGAAAAACCUUACCUACCCUUGACAUGGUCGGAAUCCYGCUGAGAGGYGGGAGUGCUCGAAAGAGAACCGGCGCACAGGUGCUGCAUGGCUGUCGUCAGCUCGUGUCGUGAGAUGUUGGGUUAAGUCCCGCAACGAGCGCAACCCUUGUCCUUAGUUGCUACGCAAGAGCACUCUAAGGAGACUGCCGGUGACAAACCGGAGGAAGGUGGGGAUGACGUCAAGUCCUCAUGGCCCUUAUGGGUAGGGCUUCACACGUCAUACAAUGGUCGGAACAGAGGGUUGCCAACCCGCGAGGGGGAGCUAAUCCCAGAAAACCGAUCGUAGUCCGGAUUGCACUCUGCAACUCGAGUGCAUGAAGCUGGAAUCGCUAGUAAUCGCGGAUCAGCAUGCCGC